rnacentral:rRNA from 1 species
AGGAAGAAGAUCUGACGGUACUUGAUGAAUAAGCCACGGCUAAUUCCGUGCCAGCAGCCGCGGUAAUACGGGAGUGGCAAGCGUUAUCCGGAAUUAUUGGGCGUAAAGCGUCCGCAGGCGGUCUUGGAAGUCUGUUGUUAAAACGUGGAGCUCAACUCCAUUUCAGCAAUGGAAACUACAAGACUAGAGUGUGGUAGGGGCAGAGGGAAUUCCCGGUGUAGCGGUGAAAUGCGUAGAUAUCGGGAAGAACACCAGUGGCGAAGGCGCUCUGCUGGGCCAUAACUGACGCUCAUGGACGAAAGCCAGGGGAGCGAAAGGGAUUAGAUACCCCUGUAGUCCUGGCCGUAAACGAUGAACACUAGGUGUCGGGGGAAUCGACCCCCUCGGUGUCGUAGCCAACGCGUUAAGUGUUCCGCCUGGGGAGUACGCACGCAAGUGUGAAACUCAAAUGAAUUGACGG